AUUGAACGCUGGCGGCAGGCUUAACACAUGCAAGUCGAGCGGAGCGGCGGACGGGUGAGUACUGCUUAGGAAUCUGCCUAUUAGUGGGGGACACCAUUCCGAAAGGAAUGCUAAUACCGCAUACUCAUAGAUGAGCUUAAGUCGGAUUGGUUAGUUGGUGGGGGAAAGGCCUACCAAGGCGACGAUCGGUCGGGGGUCUGCGGGGAUGAUCCGCCACACUGGGACUGAGGCACGGCCCAGACUCCUACGGGAGGCAGGAGUUGGGAAUUUUGGACCAUGGGGGGAACCCUGAUCCAGCCAUGCCGCGUGUGUGAAGAAGGCCUUAUGGUUGUAAAGCACUUUAAGCGAGGAGGCGUUACUCGCAGAAUAAGCACCGGCUAACUCUGUGCCAGCAGCCGCGGUAAUUC
rnacentral:rRNA from 1 species